AAUAGAUACCCCGGUAGUCCACGCCGUAAACGUUGGAUACUAGGUGUGGCGUCCCGAUCAACGGAUGCCGUGCCGAAGCUAACGCAUUAAGUAUCCCGCCUGGGGAGUACGGCCGCAAGGCUAAAACUCAAAGGAAUUGACGGGUCCCCGCACAAGCGGCGGAGCAUGCGGCUUAAUUCGAUGCAACCCGAAGAACCUUACCUGGGUUUGGAAUCAUGGGAAAAGCUGUAGAAAUACAGUGUCCGUAAGGGCCCAUGACAGGUGGUGCAUGGCUGUCGUCAGCUCGUGUCGUGAGAUGUUGGGUUAAGUCCCGCAACGAGCGCAACCCUUGUCCUAUGUUGCCAGCGGUUCGGCCGGGGACCCAUAGGAGACUGCCGGGGAUAACUCGGAGGAAGGUGAGGACGACGUCAAGUCAUCAUGCCCCCUUAUAUCCAGGGCUGCACGCAUGCUACAAUGGUCGGUACAACGGGCAGCGACCCCGCGAGGGUGAGCGAAUCCCACAAAGCCGGCCUCAGUUCGGAUUGGAGUCUGCAACUCGACU
rnacentral:rRNA from 1 species